UCGUAUCAGCGGUCGGAGGUCGUGGGAAGACGGUGGUGGCAAGGGUUAAGCGGAAGUACUUGGCGUUAAGGAGGCGGAGGCGUGUGAUUAAGUCUGAUGUGAAAUCCCUAGGGUCAACCUAGGAACUUCAUUUGAAGCGAAUAAACGAGAGGAGCGUAGAGGGAGGUAGAAGUCCAGGUGUAGCGGUGAAAUGCGUAGAUAUCUGGAGGAAGACCAGUGGCGAAGGCGACCGCCUGGACGAAAACUGACGCUCAAGCACGAAAGCAUGGGGAGCAAACAUGAUUAGAUACCCUGGUAGUC
rnacentral:rRNA from 1 species